rnacentral:rRNA from 1 species
UACGUAGGUGGCAAGCGUUGUCCGGAUUUACUGGGCGUAAAGAGCGCGCAGGCGGUCGUUCAAGUCGCGUGUGAAAGCCCCCGGCUCAACUGGGGAGGGUCACGCGAUACUGAUCGACUCGAAGGCAGGAGAGGGAAGUGGAAUUCCCGGUGUAGUGGUGAAAUGCGUAGAUAUCGGGAUGAACACCAGUGGCGAAGGCGACUUCCUGGCCUGUUCUUGACGCUGAGGCGCGAAAGCUAGGGGAGCAAACGGG